GACGAACGCUGGCGGCGUGCUUAACACGUGCAAGUCGAACGGAAAGGCCCUGCUUGCUGGGUACUCGAGUGGCGAACGGGUGAGUAACACGUAGGUGAUCUGCCCUGCACUUCGGGAUAAGCCUGGGAAACUGGGUCUAAUACCGGAUAGGAGCCAUUUUUAGUGUGAUGGUUGGAAAGUUUUUUCGGUGUAGGAUGAGCUCGCGGCCUAUCAGCUUGUUGGUGGGGUAAUGGCCUACCAAGGCGGCGACGGGUAGCCGGCCUGAGAGGGUGGACGGCCACAUUGGGACUGAGAUACGGCCCAGACUCCUACGGGAGGCAGCAGUGGGGAAUAUUGCACAAUGGGCGCAAGCCUGAUGCAGCGACGCCGCGUGGGGGAUGACGGCCUUCGGGUUGUAAACUCCUUUCGCUAGGGACGAAGCUUUUUGUGACGGUACCUAGAUAAGAAGCACCGGCUAACUACGUG
rnacentral:rRNA from 1 species